rnacentral:rRNA from 1 species
UACGUAGGCAGCAAGCGUUGUUCGGAAUUACUGGGCGUAAAGAGUGUGUAGGCGGUGUUCUAAGUCUGUUGUGAAAUCUCCCGGCUUAACUGGGAGGGUGCGGCGGAAACUGGAAUGCUAGAGGAUGGGAGAGGUAAGCGGAAUUCCUGGUGUAGCGGUGAAAUGCGUAGAUAUCGGGAGGAACACCUGUGGCGAAAGCGGCUCACUGGACCACAACUGACGCUGAGGCGCGAAAGCUAGGGGAGCAAACAGG